rnacentral:rRNA from 1 species
AGAGUUUGAUCCUGGCUCAGGACGAACGCUGGCGGCGUGCUUAACACAUGCAAGUCGAACGAGACGAUUGAAAGCUCGCUUUUGAAAGUCGAGUGGCAAACGGGUGAGUAACGCGUAGACAACCUGCCGUAAAGAUGGGGACAACAGUCCGAAAGGACUGCUAAUACCGAAUGUUGUGGAACUUCCGCAUGGGAGCUCUACUAAAGAUGGCCUCUACUUGUAAGCUAUCGCUUUACGAUGGGUCUGCGUCUGAUUAGCUAGUUGGUGGGGUAACGGCCUACCAAGGCGACGAUCAGUAGCCGACCUGAGAGGGUGACCGGCCACAUUGGGACUGAGACACGGCCCAGACUCCUACGGGAGGCAGCAGUGGGGAAUAUUGCACAAUGGAGGAAACUCUGAUGCAGCGAUGCCGCGUGAGGGAAGAAGGUUUUAGGAUUGUAAACCUCUGUCUUCAGGGACGAAAAAAGACGGUACCUGAGGAGGAAGCUCCGGCUAACUACGUGCCAGCAGCCGCGGUAAUACGUAGGGAGCGAGCGUUGUCCGGAAUUACUGGGUGUAAAGGGAGCGUAGGCGGGAUAGCAAGUCAGAUGUGAAAACUAUGGGCUCAACCUGUAGAUUGCAUUUGAAACUGUUGUUCUUGAGUGAAGUAGAGGUAAGCGGAAUUCCUAGUGUAGCGGUGAAAUGCGUAGAUAUUAGGAGGAACACCAGUGGCGAAGGCGGCUUACUGGACGAUAACUGACGCUGAGGCUCGAAAGCGUGGGGAGCAAACAGGAUUAGAUACCCUGGUAGUCCACGCUGUAAACGAUGAUUACUAGGUGUGGGGGGACUGACCCCUUCCGUGCCGCAGUUAACACAAUAAGUAAUCCACCUGGGGAGUACGACCGCAAGGUUGAAACUCAAAGGAAUUGACGGGGGCCCGCACAAGCAGUGGAGUAU